rnacentral:rRNA from 2 species
CUCCCCUGACGUCAGCGGCGGACGGGUGAGUAACACGUGGGCAACCUGCCUCACAGAUUGGGAUAACUCCGGGAAACCGGGGCUAAUACCGAAUAAUCAAAGGAACCGCAUGGUUCCCUUGUAAAAGUUGGGUUUUACCUAACACUGUGAGAUGGGCCCGCGGCGCAUUAGCUAGUUGGUGAGGUAGUGGCUCACCAAGGCGACGAUGCGUAGCCGACCUGAGAGGGUGAUCGGCCACACUGGGACUGAGACACGGCCCAGACUCCUACGGGAGGCAGCAGUAGGGAAUCAUCCGCAAUGGACGAAAGUCUGACGGUGCAACGCCGCGUGAGUGAUGACGGUCUUCGGAUUGUAAAGCUCUGUUGUUAGGGAAGAACAAGUGCCGUUCAAAUAGGGCGGCACCUUGACGGUACCUAACCAGAAAGCCCCGGCUAACUACGUGCCAGCAGCCGCGGUAAUACGUAGGGGGCAAGCGUUGUCCGGAAUUAUUGGGCGUAAAGCGCGCGCAGGCGGUUCCUUAAGUCUGAUGUGAAAGCCCACGGCUCAACCGUGGAGGGUCAUUGGAAACUGGGGAACUUGAGUGUAGGAGAGGAAAGUGGAAUUCCAAGUGUAGCGGUGAAAUGCGUAGAUAUUUGGAGGAACACCAGUGGCGAAGGCGACUUUCUGGCCUACAACUGACGCUGAGGCGCGAAAGCGUGGGGAGCAAACAGGAUUAGAUACCCUGGUAGUCCACGCCGUAAACGAUGAGUGCUAGGUGUUAGGGGUUUCGAUACCCUUAGUGCCGAAGUUAACACAUUAAGCACUCCGCCUGGGGAGUACGGUCGCAAGACUGAAACUCAAAGGAAUUGACGGGGGCCCGCACAAGCAGUGGAGCAUGUGGUUUAAUUCGAAGCAACGCGAAGAACCUUACCAGGUCUUGACAUCCUCUGACAACCCUAGAGAUAGGGCGUUCCCCUUCGGGGGACAGAGUGACAGGUGGUGCAUGGUUGUCGUCAGCUCGUGUCGUGAGAUGUUGGGGUUAAGUCCCGCAACGAGCGCAACCCUUUGACCUUAGUUGCCAGCAUU